rnacentral:rRNA from 1 species
GGUUAAGCGACUAAGCGUACACGGUGGAUGCCCUGGCAGUCAGAGGCGAUGAAGGACGUGCUAAUCUGCGAAAAGCGCCGGCGAGGUGAUAUGAACCCUUGACCCGGCGAUGUCCGAAUGGGGAAACCCAGUGCAAUUCGUUGCACUAUCGUUAACUGAAUACAUAGGUUAACGAGGCGAACCGGGGGAACUGAAACAUCUAAGUACCCCGAGGAAAAGAAAUCAACCGAGAUUCCCCCAGUAGCGGCGAGCGAACGGGGAGCAGCCCAGAGUCUGAAUCAGCUUGUGUGUUAGUGGAAGCGUCUGGAAAGUCGCACGGUACAGGGUGACAGUCCCGUACACGAAAAUGCACAGGCUGUGAACUCGAAGAGUAGGGCGGGACACGUGGUAUCCUGUCUGAAUAUGGGGGGACCAUCCUCCAAGGCUAAAUACUCCUGACUGACCGAUAGUGAACCAGUACCGUGAGGGAAAGGCGAAAAGAACCCCGGCGAGGGGAGUGAAAAAGAACCUGAAACCGUGUACGUACAAGCAGUGGGAGCACCUUCGGGUGUGACUGCGUACCUUUUGUAUAAUGGGUCAGCGACUUAUAUUCUGUAGCAAGGUUAACCGUAUAGGGGAGCCGAAGGGAAACCGAGUCUUAACUGGGCGUUAAGUUGCAGGGUAUAGACCCGAAACCCGGUGAUCUAGCCAUGGGCAGGUUGAAGGUUGGGUAACACUAACUGGAGGACCGAACCGACUAAUGUUGAAAAAUUAGCGGAUGACUUGUGGCUGGGGGUGAAAGGCCAAUCAAACCGGGAGAUAGCUGGUUCUCCCCGAAAGCUAUUUAGGUAGCGCCUCGUGAACUCAUCUUCGGGGGUAGAGCACUGUUUCGGCUAGGGGGCCAUCCCGGCUUACCAACCCGAUGCAAACUACGAAUACCGAAGAAUGUUAUCACGGGAGACACACGGCGGGUGCUAACGUCCGUCGUGAAGAGGGAAACAACCCAGACCGCCAGCUAAGGUCCCAAAGUCAUGGUUAAGUGGGAAACGAUGUGGGAAGGCCCAGACAGCCAGGAUGUUGGCUUAGAAGCAGCCAUCAUUUAAAGAAAGCGUAAUAGCUCACUGGUCGAGUCGGCCUGCGCGGAAGAUGUAACGGGGCUAAACCAUGCACCGAAGCUGCGGCAGCGACGCUUAUGCGUUGUUGGGUAGGGGAGCGUUCUGUAAGCCGUUGAAGGUGACCUGUGAGGGUUGCUGGAGGUAUCAGAAGUGCGAAUGCUGACAUAAGUAACGAUAAAGCGGGUGAAAAGCCCGCUCGCCGGAAGACCAAGGGUUCCUGUCCAACGUUAAUCGGGGCAGGGUGAGUCGACCCCUAAGGCGAGGCCGAAAGGCGUAGUCGAUGGGAAACAGGUUAAUAUUCCUGUACUUGGUGUUACUGCGAAGGGGGGACGGAGAAGGCUAUGUUAGCCGGGCGACGGUUGUCCCGGUUUAAGCAUGUAGGCGGAGGUUCCAGGUAAAUCCGGUACCUUUUUAACGCUGAGGUGUGAUGACGAGGCACUACGGUGCUGAAGUAACAAAUGCCCUGCUUCCAGGAAAAGCCUCUAAGCAUCAGGUAACAUCAAAUCGUACCCCAAACCGACACAGGUGGUCAGGUAGAGAAUACCAAGGCGCUUGAGAGAACUCGGGUGAAGGAACUAGGCAAAAUGGUGCCGUAACUUCGGGAGAAGGCACGCUGAUAUGUAGGUGAAGCCCCUGCGGGUGGAGCUGAAAUCAGUCGAAGAUACCAGCUGGCUGCAACUGUUUAUUAAAAACACAGCACUGUGCAAACACGAAAGUGGACGUAUACGGUGUGACGCCUGCCCGGUGCCGGAAGGUUAAUUGAUGGGGUUAGCGGUAACGCGAAGCUCUUGAUCGAAGCCCCGGUAAACGGCGGCCGUAACUAUAACGGUCCUAAGGUAGCGAAAUUCCUUGUCGGGUAAGUUCCGACCUGCACGAAUGGCGUAAUGAUGGCCAGGCUGUCUCCACCCGAGACUCAGUGAAAUUGAACUCGCUGUGAAGAUGCAGUGUACCCGCGGCAAGACGGAAAGACCCCGUGAACCUUUACUAUAGCUUGACACUGAACACUGGUCCUUGAUGUGUAGGAUAGGUGGGAGGCUUUGAAGCGUGGACGCCAGUCUGCGUGGAGCCAACCUUGAAAUACCACCCUUUAAUGGCUGGUGUUCUAACGUAGACCCGUAAUCCGGGUUGCGGACAGUGUCUGGUGGGUAGUUUGACUGGGGCGGUCUCCUCCCAAAGAGUAACGGAGGAGCACGAAGGUUAGCUAAUCCUGGUCGGACAUCAGGAGGUUAGUGCAAUGGCAUAAGCUAGCUUGACUGCGAGAGUGACGGCUCGAGCAGGUGCGAAAGCAGGUCAUAGUGAUCCGGUGGUUCUGAAUGGAAGGGCCAUCGCUCAACGGAUAAAAGGUACUCCGGGGAUAACAGGCUGAUACCGCCCAAGAGUUCAUAUCGACGGCGGUGUUUGGCACCUCGAUGUCGGCUCAUCACAUCCUGGGGCUGAAGUAGGUCCCAAGGGUAUGGCUGUUCGCCAUUUAAAGUGGUACGCGAGCUGGGUUUAGAACGUCGUGAGACAGUUCGGUCCCUAUCUGCCGUGGGCGCUGGAGAAUUGAGGGGGGCUGCUCCUAGUACGAGAGGACCGGAGUGGACGCAUCACUGGUGUUCGGGUUGUCAUGCCAAUGGCACUGCCCGGUAGCUAAAUGCGGAAGAGAUAAGUGCUGAAAGCAUCUAAGCACGAAACUUGCCCCGAGAUGAGUUCUCCCUGAGACUUAAAGUCUCCUGAAGGAACGUUGAAGACGACGACGUUGAUAGGUCGGGUGUGUAAGCGCAGCGAUGCGUUGAGCUAACCGAUACUAAUGAACCGUGAGGCUUAACCUUAC